CAGCAGCCACGGUAAUACGGAGGGUGCAAGCGUUAAUCGGAAUUACUGGGCGUAAAGCGUGCGUAGGCGGUUCGUUAAGUCUGUUGUGAAAGCCCCGGGCUCAACCUGGGAAUGGCAAUGGAUACUGGCGAGCUAGAGUGUGUCAGAGGAUGGUGGAAUUCCCGGUGUAGCGGUGAAAUGCGUAGAGAUCGGGAGGAACAUCAGUGGCGAAGGCGGCCAUCUGGGACAACACUGACGCUGAGGCACGAAAGCGUGGGGAGCAAACAGGAUUAGAUACCCCAGUAGUCCCUGUCUCUUAUAC
rnacentral:rRNA from 1 species